UGAGUAACACGUGAGUAACCUGUACUGGACUCUGGGAUAACCCCCAGAAACCGGAGCUAAUACCGGAUAGGACCUGGAACCGCAUGGUUUUGGGUGGAAAGUUUUUUCGGUCUGGGAUGGACUCGCGGCCUAUCAGCUUGUUGGUGAGGUAAUGGCUCACCAAGGCGUCGACGGGUAGCCGGCCUGAGAGGGUGACCGGCCACACUGGGACUGAGACACGGCCCAGACUCCUACGGGAGGCAGCCGUGGGGAAUAUUGCACAAUGGGCGAAAGCUUGAUGCAGCAACGCCGCGUGAGGGAUGACGGCCUUCGGGUUGUAAUACCUCUUUUAGUAGGGAAGAAGGGCUUCGGCUUGACGGUACCUGCAGAAAAAGCACUGGCUAACUACCUGCCAGCAGCCCGCGGUAAUACGUAGGGUGCGAGCGUUGUUCGGAAUUAUUGGGCGUAAAGCGCUCGUAGGCGGUUUGUCACGUCUGGCUGUGAAAUCCCCCAGGCCUCAACCCUCCGGGCCCGCAGUGGGUACGGGCAAGACUGGAGUGCGGUAGGGGAGAUUGCAAUUCCUGGUGUAGCGGUGGAACGCUCAGAUAUUCAAGAGGAACCACGAUGGCGGAAGGCACCUCCUCUCGGCCGUAACUGACGCUGAGAAGCGAAAGCGUGGGGGAGCGAACAGGAUUAGAAUACCUGGUAGUUCCACGCGUAAACGUUGGGCGCUAGAUGUGGGGAACCAUUCCACGGUUUCCGUGUAGUAGCUAACGCAUUAAGCGCCCCGCUUGGGGAGUACGGCCGCAAGGCUAAAACUCAAAGGAAUUGACGGGGCCCGCACAAGCGGCGGAGCAUGCGGAUUAAUUCGAUGCAACGCGAAGAACCUUACCAAGGCUUGACAUAUACGAGAACGCCGCAGAAAUGUGGAACUCUUUGGACACUCGUAUACAGGUGGUGCAUGGUUGUCGUCAGCUCGUGUCGUGAGAUGUUGGGUUAAGUCCCGCAACGAGCGCAACCCUCGUCGUAUGUUGCCAGCACGUAAUGGUGGGAACUCAUAUGAGACUGCCGGGGUCAACUCGGAGGAAGGUGGGGAUGACGUCAAAUCAUCAUGCCCCUUAUGUCUUGGGCUUCACGCAUGCUACAAUGGCCGGUACAAAGGGCUGCGAUGUCGUAAGGCGGAGCGAAUCCCAAAAAGCCGGUCUCAGUUCGGAUUGAGGUCUGCAACUCGACCUCAUGAAGUCGGAGUCGCUAGUAAUCGCAGAUCAGCAACGCUGUGGUGAAUACGUUCCCGGGCCCAGUACACACCGCCCGUCAAGUCAUUAAUUCGGUAACACCCGAAGCCGGUGGCCUAAACCCUUGUGGAGGGAGCCGUCGAAGGUGGGAUCGGUGAUUAUGAUUAAGUCGAACAAGGU
rnacentral:rRNA from 1 species